AACUUAAAUGAAUUGACGGGGAGCACCACAACGGGUGGAGCUUGCGGUUUAAUUGGAUUCAACGCCGGAAAUCUUACCGGGACCGACAGCAAUAUGAAGGCCAGGCUGAAGACUUUGCCGGAUUAGCUGAGAGGUGGUGCAUGGCCGUCGUCAGUUCGUACUGUGAAGCAUCCUGUUAAGUCAGGCAACGAGCGAGACCCACGCCCACAGUUGCCAGCGUACUCUCCGGAGUGACGGGUACACUGUGGGGACCGCCGCUGCUAAAGCGGAGGAAGGAAUGGGCAACGGUAGGUCAGUAUGCCCCGAAUAUCCCGGGCUACACGCGAGCUACAAUGGUUGGUACAAUGGGUAUCUACCCCGAAAGGGGACGGGAAUCUCCUAAAACCAAUCUUAGUUCGGAUUGAGGGCUGCAACUCGCCCUCAUGAAGCUGGAAUCCGUAGUAAUCGCGUUUCAACAGAACGCGGUGAAUACGUCCCUGCUCCUU
rnacentral:rRNA from 1 species